UACGCAGGGGGCUAGCGUUGUUCGGAAUUACUGGGCGUAAAGCGCACGUAGGCGGAUACUUAAGUCAGGGGUGAAAUCCCGGGGCUCAACCCCGGAACUGCCUUUGAUACUGGGUAUCUCGAGUCCGGAAGAGGUGAGUGGAAUUCCGAGUGUAGAGGUGAAAUUCGUAGAUAUUCGGAGGAACACCAGUGGCGAAGGCGGCUCACUGGUCCGGUACUGACGCUGAGGUGCGAAAGCGUGGGGAGCGAACCGG
rnacentral:rRNA from 1 species